UUUAGUAUGUCGUCCAAAAUGUGACAAAAACGUCAUAGUUUAGUAUGUCGUCCAAAAUGUGACAAAAACGUCAUAGUUUAGUAUGUCGUCCAAAAUGUGACAAAAACGUCAUAGUUUAGUAUGUCGUCCAAAAUGUGACAAAAACGUCAUAGUUUAGUAUGUCGUCCAAAAUGUGACAAAAACGUCAUAGUUUAGUAUGUCGUCCAAAAUGUGACAAAAACGUCAUAGUUUAGUAUGUCGUCCAAAAUGUGACAAAAACAUCAUAGUUUAGUAUGUCGUCCAAAAUGUGACAAAAACAUCAUAGUUUAGUAUGUCGUCCAAAAAAUGAC